GCGGACGUGGCGAAACUGGUAGACGCAAGGGACUUAAAAUCCCUCGGUUAACACCGUACGGGUUCGACCCCCGUCGUCCGCACCA
rnacentral:tRNA from 1 species